rnacentral:rRNA from 1 species
GGGUCCUACGGGGGGCAGCAGUGAGGAAUAUUGGUCAAUGGGCGCGAGCCUGAACCAGCCAAGUCGCGUGAGGGAAGACGGUCCUAUGGAUUGUAAACCUCUUUUGUCGGGGAGCAAAAGACGCCACGCGUGGCGUUCCGAGAGUACCCGAAGAAAAGGCAUCGGCUAACUCCGUGCCAGCAGCCGCGGUAAUACGGAGGAUGCGAGCGUUAUCCGGAUUUAUUGGGUUUAAAGGGUGCGUAGGCGGGCUGGUAAGUCAGCGGGCAUAUGUCGGGGCUCCA